rnacentral:rRNA from 1 species
UACGUAGGGUGCGAGCGUUAAUCGGAAUUACUGGGCGUGAAGCGUGCGCAGGCGGUUUUGUAAGCCAGAUGUGAAAGCCCCGGGCUUAACCUGGGAAUGGCAUUUGGGACUGCAAGGCUUGAGUGCGGCAGAGGAGACUGGAAUUCCUGGUGUAGCAGUGAAAUGCGUAGAUAUCAGGAGGAAUACCGAUGGCGAAGGCAGGUCUCUGGGCUGACACUGACGCUCAUGCACGAAAGCGUGGGGAGCAAACGGG